rnacentral:rRNA from 1 species
AUUGAACGCUGGCGGAAUGCUUUACACAUGCAAGUCGAACGGUAGAGGGGGCAACCCCUCGAGAGUGGCGAACGGGUGAGUAAUAUAUUGGAACGUGCCCAGUCGUGGGGGAUAACGUAGCGAAAGUUACGCUAAUACCGCAUACGAUCCAAGGAUGAAAGCGGGGGAUCGCAAGACCUUGCGCGAUUGGAGCGGCCGAUGGCAGAUUAGGUAGUUGGUAGGGUAAAGGCCUACCAAGCCGACGAUCUGUAGCUGGUCUGAGAGGAUGAUCAGCCACACUGGGACUGAGACACGGCCCAGACUCCUACGGGAGGCAGCAGUGGGGAAUUUUGGACAAUGGACGCAAGUCUGAUCCAGCCAUUCCGCGUGCAGGAUGAAGGCCCUCGGGUUGUAAACUGCUUUUGUACAGAACGAAAAGGCUCUGGUUAAUACCUAGGGCUCAUGACGGUACUGUAAGAAUAAGCACCGGCUAACUACGUGCCAGCCGCCGCAGUAA